rnacentral:lncRNA from 1 species
GACAAUUCUCAAAUAGCGCAUGGAUAAAUAGAUAAUCAUUAUAUAUUGUAAAGACAUAAUUAUAAAGAAUAUCUACAAAAUUAAGUAGAAUGACGCCAACAGCGUUUUGAACGUGAGUCGGACAUUUAAGGUUAAGGUUAGUAUCAAAGUAAAAGCAGUCGUAAGUACAUGGAAGAAUUUAAUCUUGCACAAAGAAAUGUAGUUUUUCAUUUUUUUCGUUUUAAGUAAAAAUUAUCUUAGCAAGGAGUAAUCUCCUCGAGGAAUAAUCUUAAAACACGUUCAUUUACUCGAAACAAGUUCAUUCUAUUAUCUCUAUCGAAACAGUCACUCUAUUCUGUGUGUAAUGGCGUAAAGCGUACAUAUGCCCAAUACAUCGUUUCGUGCAUGCAACUGAAAAAUAUUUCUACAUCCAGUUUAACUAAUAGCUACUUAAAACAACUUACAACUGUUUUAUCAAGCCGUGAAUAUUAUAUCUAAACUGUAUGAAAUACACGCGACGCUAAUUGUGAGUAUAUUUUCAUUCUAGCACUCGUCAGUUCCACGAACGUCGUCGAAUGACCCUGUGUUGUAGUUUGUUCCUUUUUUAGCCACGCGAUCGCCUUAAGGUAUCGCCUGCGUGACGUAUUAACUCCCCCUCCUCUGCCGCGUAUUGCUCGCUAGUCCGGAAACAGCGUCGCUCGCAUACGCACCCGUCGAAAGUGCCAUCGCGAUCCUUGGAAACGCGUCGGAUCAAUUAAACGGCACAAUUUCAUUCAAUCGGAUCAAUCAAAUGACAGAAGCCAUACGUAACAAUAACGUCGUGAUACGCGUAGCGUAAUUAGCAGUUGUGUCCCUCGUAACAUAGUACACGUUUCCUCGCGUGACGCUCGAUCAGUGAAGUAAGGUUAUUGUCUGAUCGAGGCGGUUUUCAAAGGCGUGAAGUUGCCUCGCUUCGAAUCUUUCCUGCGUCGUCAUGCGCCAUAUUAAGCGAACGCGAGUAUCGUUCGGACACUCGAAAUAUCACAAUGCUGUAUGUACAAUACAAAGCGACGUGCCGUUCACCGUGUUGCGUUAAUUACGUACACGGUCGUGCGUGGUCCGAGAUUUUCGCGUCGUCGUACACCUCGUGUAACCUAAACGCGAACAAGAACGUCGCGAGGGCACCCGGGGUGGCGGAGUGACGGGGUGUUACGUCCGUCGUCGCGUUUCGCGUUUUGUGUAUAUCCGUUCAUAGUGCCGAGAGUCGAGAGUGCCGGACAAAACAGCGUAUCGCGUUGUUUAGCGUGUACACACGGGUGUAAUUAGUUUCCUAACGACGCGCGUCGCGUUCGUGUGAGUAAACACACCGAGAAGAAGGGGGAGGAGUAGCUAUCGGAUGACAAAGAAGCGAAGGACGACAUUCAAUGACAAUCCAACUUUACAGCUGUGGUCUGCAUAAUCGGACGACAUUCAAUGACAAUCCAACAUUACAGCUGUGGUCUACAUAAUUGGACGACAUUCAAUGACAAUCCGACACUACAUCCAACAUUACAGCUGUGGUCUGCAUAAUCGGUGCCAUCUCGAAGAAAGCUCGAUGCUGUAACAGAUCGAUCGACGACUGGUAAGUCCUAAAUUGAUAAAAUAUAUUAUAAUUUCUCAUUUGUAAUUUUGUAAAGUGUAAUAUAU